AACAUGUCCAGGUCGUUUCCCGUAGAUAACCCCGAGAGGAUUGUUUUGUAAAAUAUACAAGCCGUAAACAUUAUUGAAGCAUUGUAGAAGCCCAGGGAUGAUUUAAACAAUUUUAAGUCACCCAUUUCUUUAUGCCCGGGACACCCGAUCAACCAAAGGAAACUUGAACUGUCGAAGGUCACAAACAUGCGAGAUUGCAGACCCACGUUGCCUCGAUCGCCUGAUGUCAUGUCGGGUCACUGUGCAGUGAGAUUGUACAUAUGAAGGUAGACUGAAGGCCAGACUUAGGCAGGAUGAUUGAACAAAAUCUGCUUGCAGAUGGACUACUGAGCAAAAAAAUUGGACUCUCAGGAGGUGAACAGAUGUUCAGCAAGAAAUUCGCACAUCAAAUGCUGUGAAUUAAACUGAUAUCCCCCCCCCCCAAAAAAAAAAAGAACAGAGAGACCAAUCAUUAACAGCUUGAGACUUGGUGCACAUAACCUUGCCACAGAAAAGGGGAUUUACCUAUAAGCACUCCCUA